rnacentral:rRNA from 1 species
CUACGCUGCGAUAAGCCGUGGGGAGCUGCGAAGAAGCUUUGAUCCACGGAUUUCCGAAUGGGGAAACCCACCUUCGAUAGCCGGAACUCCAAGACCUUGUGUUUUGGGGUUCGACCAGAAAUGGAAGAAAUCAGACCGCGAGGUUUUGGAUUUCCGGUUAUCAAGAGAAGGUAUGAGACUUCCGAAUAAAAUAGGAGGUUUUAAGCAAACCCAGGGAACUGAAACAUCUAAGUACCUGGAGGAAAGGACAUCAAUCGAGACUCCGUUAGUAGUGGCGAGCGAACGCGGACCAGGCCAGUGAUACAUCAAAGACAAUCGGAACCUGUCAGGAAAGCAGGGCCUCAGAGGGUGAUAGCCCCGUACGAGUAAUGCGAUGAUGUAUCCGCGAGUAAGGCGGGACACGUGUAAUCCUGUCUGAACACGGGGGGACCACCCUCCAAGCCUAAGUACUCCUCAGCGACCGAUAGU